GGCCAAGUUUUUAAGGGCGCACGGUGGAUGCCUUGGCACCAGGAACCGAUGAAGGACGUGGGAGGCCACGAUAGGCCCCGGGGAGCUGUCAACCGAGCUUUGAUCCGGGGGUGUCCGAAUGGGGAAACCCGGCAGUCGUCAUGGGCUGUCACCCGCUGCUGAACACAUAGGCAGUGUGGAGGGAACGCGGGGAAGUGAAACAUCUCAGUACCCGCAGGAAGAGAAAACAACCGUGAUUCCGGGAGUAGUGGCGAGCGAAACCGGAUGAGGCCAAACCAGUCACGUGUGAUACCCGGCAGGGGUUGCGUGGUUGGGGUUGUGGGAUCUCUUUUCUGCAGUCUGCCGGCUGUGGGACGAGUCAGAAACCGUUGAUGUAGGCGAAGGACAUGCGAAAGGUCCGGCGUAGAGGGUAAGACCCCCGUAGCUGAAACAUCAGCGGCUCGUUUAAGAGACACCCAAGUAGCACGGGGCCCGAGAAAUCCCGUGUGAAUCUGGCGGGACCACCCGUUAAGCCUAAAUAUUCCCUGGUGACCGAUAGCGGAUAGUACCGUGAGGGAAUGGUGAAAAGUACCGCGGGAGCGGAGUGAAAUAGUACCUGAAACCGUGUGCCUACAAGCCGUGGGAGCGUCGCACAAGGACUUGUCCUUGUGUCGUGACUGCGUGCCUUUUGAAGAAUGAGCCUGCGAGUUUGCGGUAUGUUGCGAGGUUAACCCGUGUGGGGAAGCCGUAGCGAAAGCGAGUCCGAAGAGGGCGUUGAGUAGCGUGCCCAAGACCCGAAGCGGAGUGAUCUAGCCAUGGGCAGGUUGAAGCGGAGGUAAGACUUCGUGGAGGACCGAACCCACCAGGGUUGAAAACCUGGGGGAUGACCUGUGGUUAGGGGUGAAAGGCCAAUCAAACUCCGUGAUAGCUGGUUCUCCCCGAAAUGCAUUUAGGUGCAGCGUCGUGUGUUUCUUGCCGGAGGUAGAGCACUGGAUAGGCGAUGGGCCCUACCGGGUUACUGACCUUAGCCAAACUCCGAAUGCCGGUAAGUGAGAGCGCGGCAGUGAGACUGUGGGGGAUAAGCUCCAUGGUCGAGAGGGAAACAGCCCAGAGCAUCGACUAAGGCCCCUAAGCGUGUGCUAAGUGGGAAAGGAUGUGGAGUCGCAGAGACAACCAGGAGGUUGGCUUAGAAGCAGCCAUCCUUGAAAGAGUGCGUAAUAGCUCACUGGUCAAGUGAUUCCGCGCCGACAAUGUAGCGGGGCUCAAGCACACCGCCGAAGUCGUGUCAUUGCCACAACAGCCCUAACGGGUGUGGUGAUGGGUAGGGGAGCGUCGUGUGCCGGGUGAAGCAGCCGUGGAAACGAGUUGUGGACGGUUCACGAGUGAGAAUGCAGGCAUGAGUAGCGAUACACACGUGGGAAACGUGUGCGCCGAUUGACUAAGGGUUCCUGGGUCAAGCUGAUCUGCCCAGGGUAAGUCGGGACCUAAGGCGAGGCCGACAGGCGUAGUCGAUGGACAACCGGUUGAUAUUCCGGUACCCGCUUUGAAGCGCCAAACAUCGAGCCCAUUAAUGCUAAGGCCGUGAAGCCGCCCUGAUCUCUUCGGAGUUGAGGGGAGUGGUGGAGCCGCUGACCCAAGGUGGUAGUAGGUGAGUGAUGGGGUGACGCAGGAAGGUAGUCCAGCCCGGGCGGUGGUUGUCCCGGGGUAAGGGUGUAGGACGCUGUCUAGGCAAAUCCGGACAGCAUGAAGUCUGAGACCUGAUGCCGAGCCGAUUGUGGUGAAGUGGAUGAUCCUAUGCUGUCGAGAAAAGCCUCUAGCGAGUUUCAUGGCGGCCCGUACCCUAAACCGACUCAGGUGGUCAGGUAGAGAAUACCGAGGCGUUCGGGUGAACUAUGGUUAAGGAACUCGGCAAAAUGCCCCCGUAACUUCGGGAGAAGGGGGGCCAUUGCUGGUGAUCACUCUUGCAGUGUGAGCUGGUGGUGGCCGCAGAGACCAGCGAGAAGCGACUGUUUACUAAAAACACAGGUCCGUGCGAAGCCGUAAGGCGAUGUAUACGGACUGACGCCUGCCCGGUGCUGGAACGUUAAGGGGACCGGUUAGUCACAUUUCGGUGUGGCGAAGCUGAGAACUUAAGCGCCAGUAAACGGCGGUGGUAACUAUAACCAUCCUAAGGUAGCGAAAUUCCUUGUCGGGUAAGUUCCGACCUGCACGAAUGGCGUAACGACUUCUCGACUGUCUCAACCAUAGGCCCGGUGAAAUUGCAUUACGAGUAAAGAUGCUCGUUUCGCGCAGCAGGACGGAAAGACCCCGGGACCUUUACUAUAGCUUGAUAUUGGUGUUCGGUUCGGCUUGUGUAGGAUAGGUGGGAGACUUUGAAGCGGCCACGCCAGUGGUUGUGGAGUCAUUGUUGAAAUACCACUCUGGUCGUGCUGGAUGUCUAACCUGGGUCCGUGAUCCGGAUCAGGGACAGUGUCUGGUGGGUAGUUUAACUGGGGCGGUUGCCUCCUAAAGGGUAACGGAGGCGCCCAAAGGUUCCCUCAGCCUGGUUGGCAAUCAGGUGUUGAGUGUAAGUGCACAAGGGAGCUUGACUGUGAGACUGACGGGUCGAGCAGGUACGAAAGUAGGGACUAGUGAUCCGGCGGUGGCUUGUGGAAGCGCCGUCGCUCAACGGAUAAAAGGUACCCCGGGGAUAACAGGCUGAUCUUCCCCAAGAGUCCAUAUCGACGGGAUGGUUUGGCACCUCGAUGUCGGCUCGUCGCAUCCUGGGGCUGGAGUCGGUCCCAAGGGUUGGGCUGUUCGCCCAUUAAAGCGGUACGCGAGCUGGGUUUAGAACGUCGUGAGACAGUUCGGUCCCUAUCCGCUGUGCGCGUAGGAGUCUUGAGAAGGGCUGUCCCUAGUACGAGAGGACCGGGACGGACGAACCUCUGGUGUGCCAGUUGUCCUGCCAAGGGCAUGGCUGGUUGGCUACGUUCGGAAAGGAUAACCGCUGAAAGCAUCUAAGCGGGAAGCCUGCUUCGAGAUGAGGGCUCCCACCAACUUGAUUGGUUAAGGCUCCCAGUAGACGACUGGGUUGAUAGGCCAGAUAUGGAAGCCUGGUAACGGGUGGAGUUGACUGGUACUAAUAGGCCGAGGGCUUGUCCUC
rnacentral:rRNA from 1 species